rnacentral:rRNA from 1 species
CAAUAGCGUAUAUUUAAGUUGCUGCAGUUAAAAAGCUCGUAGUUGGAUUUCGGGUGGGAAUGGCCGGUCCGCCGUUUCGGUGUGCACUUGCUACGCCCACCUUGCUGCCGGGGACGUGCUCUUGAGUUCACGCUCGGGACCCGGAGUCGGCGAGGUUACUUUGAGUAAAUUAGAGUGUUCAAAGCAGGCCUACGCUCUGAAUACAUUAGCAUGGAAUAACACGAUAGGACUCUGGCCUAUCUUGUUGGUCUGUAGGACCGGAGUAAUGAUUAAGAGGGACAGUCGGGGGCAUUCGUAUUUCAUUGUCAGAGGUGAAAUUCUUGGAUUUAUGAAAGACGAACUACUGCGAAAGCAUUUGCCAAGGAUGUUUUCAUUAA